ensembl:lncRNA
AGUUAAAAUACAAAGAAAACUUUUAGUUCUUUAGGGUUUGACUUCUUGAACUUAACACAAACUGGCCGAUACAGAGACUACAUACGAGAGAAGCUGUUUCUCCUGCCAAGUGUUUCCUGUAUGACUGGUUUCCAGUCAAGGCUGGACACAGUGGGCAGGAGGCCAGUUUAAGGAGGACUGCUGAAGCCCUGCUGUCAGGCUCAGAAGAGCCCAAGGAACAAGGGACACAGGUGACCUGGAGGACACAGGGUGGCUGCCAGACUGGAAAGGGGACAAGAGGAUCGAACUUGGGACCUUGCGCUUGUGAGGCAGGCACCGGAACCACUGAGCCAAAUCCCUGACCCUUGUUCCUGAUUUUAGAAGGAAAGCUUUCAGUUUUUCCUCCUUUAAUAUGAUGCUGGCAGUAGUUUUCCAUAAAUGAUUUUUAUCAGAUUGAG